AGCAGUGAGGAAUAUUGGUCAAUAGCCUAACGGCUGAACCAGCAACUUGGAGGAAUGUAUAGCGAAAGCUAAUUGUAUUAGCAGGCAAUGGUUAAUACAAUAUCGACUAUGUCGACUAAAGUUCUAGGUAGAGUAAUGAUAAUGACAUUUUUUACCUAUGUGUCUUGACCAAGUCACGUGCCAGCAGUCGCGGUAAUACGUGGAAGACUAGUGUUAUUCAUCUUUAAUAGGUUUAAAGGGUACCCAGACGGUAUAUUUAGCCCAAAAAGGGUACUAAAUAAACUAGAGUUUAAUGUGAGGGGGUUAAUAGUACUAAUGGUGUAGAGAUGAAAUUCUGUCAUACCAUGAGGUUACUGGCAGCGGCGAAAGCAACCCUUUAUGCAAAAACUGACGUUGAAGGACGAAGGCUAGUGUAACCAAAAGGAUUAGAUACCCCAGCAGUGCUAGCAGACAACGCUGAAUGCCAUAGAUUAGAUUAUAUUUCUUCUAUAAAUGAAAGUGUAAGCAUUCCACCUCAAGAGUAAUUUGGCAACAUAGGAAUGAAAUCAUUAGACGUUUCUGAAACCAGGAGUGAAGUAUGUGUAUAACUAGACGAUCCGCAAAAAACCUUACCACAAUUUGAAUAUUUUUAUUUUUAUAAUUAUACAAGAGUUGCACGGCUGUCUUCAGUUAAUGUCGUGAGAUUCUGGUUAGUUCCAUUAAAUUAACGUAACCCUUACUUUAUUUUUAUAUAAAGUAGUUCACCGCUAUAUUGGAUAUGAUAGAAGGACUAAGACAAGUCAUCAUGGCCUGAUAGUUGUUGGUGGGGCUAUAAAC
rnacentral:rRNA from 1 species